UGUUAAUUUUCACGGAUUCGCCGGUCGGUUCUCGACACGACACCUGGACGAUCGCCUGGUUUCUAGAACGACGCAGCGAAGGAUCGAGGAUUCUUAAAUGGUUGUGGUCAGUUUUAAACAGAGAUCUAUUUUAAGAGAGAUGCAUAGGGAUAUAAACGGGCAUGAUUUCGACGAAAAGAACUUAGAACGGAUCUACGAGUUUCCACACAACGGAUAACGAGAUGUAUCUCCGACGAGAUAGAAUCGAUAAUCGAUAUACGAUCAUCGUUUGUAAUUCUACCGUUGUAAAUACAGCCGCUAUGCUAUAAGCUGGAAUACGAAUUGUUUACAAGCAGACUCGUGGUUUUCGUUCGUCCGUUCGUUACCGUUCGCAGUAGGCGAAGUAAGAUAAGUAAACGUAAUCGGACGCGUGUACGUACGGACGCGAGCAAAUCGAUCGGAUUGUUCUAGAAAAAGAAAAAAGAGAGAGAGAAAAAGAAAAAAAGAAUCGCACAGAGUAUCGAGUAUUCGAGGACUUUUCAAAGCGUAACACAUUCGCGGGUCGCGUUUAAAAAUCCAAGAAGCCCGGAGCGAAAGACGGGAAAGAGAGGUAGGGACGAGCGAAGUAAGACUAAGACGCGUUGUCGCGUACACGCACGUUAUCAAGGCCGUGAUCGCGUUAUGGAGGGAGCACCUCGAAUCGAGGGCACCGUCGACAUUACCUAUAAUACGUACCUGCGAUCAGUUAUAGAGCCUCUUUAUAACUCGGAAGAAGCGCGCCUCGGUUCGCCGCCAUUUUUCUUUCCUCGCGAUCACCACCUUCCACCUUCCCCUUGUCGC